rnacentral:rRNA from 1 species
AAGAAAAUUAAUUAAUAUAACUAAAAUGUAUGUAAUUAUUUAUUGAAACUUAAAUAAUUUGGCGGUAUUUUAGUUCAUUUAGAGGAAUCUGUCUAGUAAUUGAUAAUCCACGAAUAAUAUAUAUUUAAUUUAAAAUUUUAUAUAUCGUUGUUAAAAAAAUAUUUUUUAUAAAAAAUAAUAUUUUAAAAUUAAAAUAAAAAAUUAAUUCAGAUCAAGAUGUAGAUAAUAAUUAAAGUGAGGAUGGAUUACAAUAUAAUAAUAUAAAUGAAUAAUAAUUUUGUAAUAAUUAUUUGAAAGUGGAUUUAAAUGUAAUUUUAUUUAAUUUAAUAAAAUGAUUAAAAAUUGAAAUAUGUACAUAUUGCCCGUCACUUUCAUUUAAAAAUUGGAAUAAGUCGUAACAAAGUAGGGAUACUGGAAAGUGUUCCUAGAAAGA